UGGGGAAUAUUGCACAAUGGGGGAAACCCUGAUGCAGCAACGCCGCGUGGAGGAUGACGCAUUUCGGUGUGUAAACUCCUUUUAUAUGGGAAGAUAAUGACGGUACCAUAUGAAUAAGCACCGGCUAACUCCGUGCCAGCAGCCGCGGUAAUACGGAGGGUGCAAGCGUUACUCGGAAUCACUGGGCGUAAAGCGCGCGCAGGCGGAUUGGAAAGUCAGAAGUGAAAUCCUACAGCUUAACUGUAGAACUGCUUCUGAAACUCUCAAUCUAGAGUGUGGGAGAGGUAAGUGGAAUUAGUGGUGUAGGGGUAAAAUCCGCAGAGAUCACUAGGAAUACCAAAAGCGAAGGCAACUUACUGGAACACUACUGACGCUGAGGCGCGAAAGCGUGGGGAGCAAACAGG
rnacentral:rRNA from 1 species